rnacentral:rRNA from 1 species
UACGUAGGGUGCGAGCGUUAAUCGGAAUUACUGGGCGUAAAGCGUGCGCAGGCGGUUCGUUGUGUCGGCGGUGAAAGCCCCGGGCUUAACCUGGGAAUGGCCGUUGAAACUGGCGAACUGGAGUGUGGCAGAGGGGGGUGGAAUUCCGCGUGUAGCAGUGAAAUGCGUAGAGAUGCGGAGGAACACCGAUGGCGAAGGCAGCCCCCUGGGCUAACACUGACGCUCAGGCAUGAAAGCGUGGGGAGCAAGCAGG